GUUCUUUUGUUUUUAAUAUAAGAUCGGGCCUGCCCAUUGAUUAAAAAUAUUAAAAGGCUGCGGUAUUUUAACUGUACGAAGGUAGCAUAAUCACUUGUCUUUUAAUUGGAGGCUAGAAUGAAUGGUUUGAUGAGAAAUAAACUUUCUUUAGAUAAUUUAUUUGAAUUUAAUUUUUUAGUUAAAAAGCUGAAAUUUUUUUAUAGGACGAGAAGACCCUAUAGAGGUUUACUAAUUUUAUAAAUUAUAUUUUUUGUUAAUUAAUUUAUUUUUUAGAAAAAUUAGUUUUGUUGGGGUGACAAUAAAAUUUUAUUAACUUUUAUUAUCAAUUCUCAUUAAUUUAUGUUUUUUUGAUCCAGAUUUUCUGAUUAAAAGAUUAACCUACCUUAGGGAUAACAGCGUAAUCUUUUUGGAGAGUUCAUAUCGAUGAAAAGGUUUGCGA
rnacentral:rRNA from 1 species